rnacentral:lncRNA from 1 species
UCAAGACUUAUCAGUUGUUUUGUGUCAUGGGACAACCUUGGUCAACUAAUCCCUGACCCUUUCUCUCUCUUCAAACUACUCAAGACUUAAGGUCGUCACUCUCUUCAUACUACUUUCUCUCUCUUCUCUCUUCCAUUUGAAACCUACUCUGCAUUCUUAUUCCAAGCAAUCCACCCACUGCCACCACCCAAAAUCCAUGCCCGUCGAUGAUGAAAGACGCCUGUUAAGUACCUUUACAUAAGAAGCAUCCGAGAAAAUGCAUCGUUCCUCUGCUCAGAUCUACAGCUGGCCUCUCCAAAACUCCAAUCUCUGCCCCUUGAUCCGCAGUUGCCACUUUCACAGUUAAAGAAUAAUUACAAACUCCUUUCAAGAUGCAUUGCCUAUGGUAUCAUAACUGGCCCUACAUAUCAAGAAAACAAAAUUAAAAAGAAAGUAAAAUAAUUAAAAAAAUGCAUCGCUUUUGGUAUUAUAACAGGCCCUUACGUAUACGUAGAAAAAUCUUAAAUAAAAGCAAAAUAUAUAAGACUACUUUGGCAAUGGGGAUGCAAUGUAUGAAAAUCACUAGGAUAUUUUUACCAUUUUUUUUUAUAAUUUAGGGUCAACAUAAAAUCCCACUCGGUAACAAUCUUGAGGUAGCUUCUCCAAUACUGCCUCUAUUAGGAAUUUUGUUCAAUACUUUGCAAAUGUGUUGGAUCUCAACAAGAUUUACAAACAAGUCAAUAAUUGCAGCAGCUACUAUGAAUCAAAAACUAAACUGGGUGAUUCUGAUUUGAACUCAUAUUUUUUGGGGGGGAUUUUUAAAAUUAUAUAUUGACUGAGAUAAUUCCAUUUUAUAUCAGUCGCUUGGGUUUUUAGCAUUGGAGUUACCUAAACAAAUAUAAAUACAGUGAAAAAUCAAAAUAAAGAGAGAACCCCACACCAAAAAAUCAAUCAAUAAAUAGAUAAACAGUGUAAAUUAUAGAAAAAACCCAGGAUUCAAAUGAAAAAAAAGCACGGUCAUCAAGUCCAUGUUUUAGUGGACCUAUAAAUGCAUAUUUGAGAUGAACAAUAUGCCCUAGAGAGAGGGUAGAGAGAGAGGAAUUAUUAGCUUUUUAAUUCUUCACCAAAAGUGAAUAUAUCUCUUAAUUAUUAAUCCAUACCUUAUUCAAAAUCCAGAUUUUGAGAGUAGCUUUGAACUUGAAUGAAAUAAUGGGUUCUCAAAGAGGCAAUCCUC